AUGGCGUUCUACCAGGGCAAGCUCUACGCCAUUGCCAAUGACGAGAACCUCCUUGUGGUGAACAUCAGCCAGGACCAUAGCACCGGCGAUCCACAGGUUUCUUGGAUUGGACAAAUCAUCAAGGGUGAGCCAUGGUAUCCAGUUGUGUUGGAAGACAACACUAUGCCCUGCAAGAAGCUCUACCUGGUUGAAUCGCAUGGGGCACUGCUGAUGGUACGAAGGGCAAUUUGGUGCCGGGUACCUGGACCUGGAGUGCCUGGUGAAGUUAUUGCUGGAGUGAGCGGGUUUGAGGUUUUCAAGGCCGACUUUGAGCAUUCACGGUGGGUCAAGGUGUCGACCAUGGGGGAUGACCAAGUGCUGUUUCUAGGGCGAAGGUGCUCCAGGGCCAUGUCUGUGUCUCAGUACGGGCUGUCGGGUGAUUAUAUCUUCUUCUUGGAUGAUGAUGAGGAGAAUUGUACGGACUACUGCUACGACAAGGAGAACACUUCUUUCAGCGCCUAUGACAUGAGAUCCAGCAGUGUCCUUCCGGCAUGUCCCAGUAUUUUCUGGAAGUGUUGUAAUGAGAUGCGUCUGGCUGCAUGGCUCUUCCCUGAGGACCGAUGA
rnacentral:rRNA from 1 species